UGUACGACCACGCUCACUUGUUCAAUAAAGCUUUGCAUAUGGAUCCCUGCCUGAGUCCAGCUUCGUUACAGAUAUACAUUUAAUACGAUUUUUUUCUUUUUCAGUUACUUAACAGAAAUGUGGAAAAACACAAGAAAAACACCCCGGAUAUUUUCUGCAGAGUCUAUGCCAGCCCUGAAAUUGAGGGUACCUGAACAGCAAGGAAACACUUCUGAGUGUGGCAUAUUUGUAUUACUCUAUGCAGAGAAUUUUCUGAAGGAUCCUCCCAAAGAACUAAUCAAUGAGCUUGACUGUACAUCCUGGUUUACACUAGCCGAUGCAUUUUCAAGGCGUGCACAGAUCAGGGACAAAAUGCGAAGCAGUUUAGAAGGUGUAUUUUUUUUUUUUUAAUUAGAUUUUUUUAUGAACAUUACAGAAUCCUUAUGAAAUUAGUUAAGUUAAAAUAUCUAAAAUCGUGUGCCACAAUUUUCUUAAAUUUUAGGAAGUUAUUUUAAAUACAGCAUAGGGUGCACAAGCAUAACAUUCUGAUGUUUUGAUAUGGCAGAUGAUAUGUAUUUAACUUGUGCUACAUUAAUCUUGUAAUACUGGCGAUUGACUGUGAGUUUUGCUUAUGCAGCACAGAGAAGAGAAGCAGAGGAAAACAAAGCAGAAGAAGGAGAAAGUGAAGAAGAGCAAAUGGUUGACGAGAAAGCGCAAGAGGAAAACAUAGCCAAGGAAAGAAAAAUAGAAGGUAGAGAGGAAGAAAACAUACCUGAGGAAAGAGAAGAGGACAAAACAGCUCAGGGAGGAAACUAUACAGUUCUGGGAAGGCUGUCAGUGCUAGGCACCAAAAGAAAAUACGCAGUCACUCAAGAUGAACUGAAGAGGAGAAUAAAGGCAGAAAACAUGUCAAACAACAUGUUGAGAAGCUUGAUUAGGGUUCGUAAAGAGGAUCUCCCUCAGGAGCUCAGAGAGCAACGGCCAAUAAAAGCCAAGACCAAAAUUAGCAUAUUCUCUGCUUUCAGUGAAGGGGAGGCCACAGAUUUAGCCCAGGAGCUGGGAGCCAUGCUUGGGAGACAUGUAAACCUAGGCAUACUUGCAGGUGUUCCAGGUGCGCAGGCAGACAUUGCAAAGAAUACACUCUGCACUCUCCAGUGUUUGCUCAGAGAAAAAAUGGGAGAAGAAUCAGCUUUUAGUCUGCUGACCCAUACAUUAGGACCACAAGUCAUAGAUGUUGUCAUCUCAUUUUUAAUCAGUUAACGUAGAGGUACAAUGAGCCAGUGAACACAAUAACAAAUGAAUGUUAAAAUUGUUACAAACAUUGUCAUCUCAGUUAAUUAAUGUCACAGUUAAUUGAUUUAAAUAUACAACAUAUCACUGUUAGACAACACAUUCAGACAGCAGAGUAAUGUUAAACGUU